CGUUGGCGCCUCCGCGACGAUAAGUUGAAAAUCCCGCCAGGGCCGGAAGGCAGCAACGGUAUCGACUGAUUCGGGCGCCGGAGUCACGCUUGCGGGG
rfam:Lysobacter gummosus strain 3.2.11, complete genome.